UUUACUCUUUAUCUCAGACGACAACAACAAUUUCAAUGAUAACACAACAACAACAAUACAACAAACACCGUCGCGAUAACAACAACCAAAAACCGCGACUUAGGUUUUGACCCCAUUUUGCCUCGACCAGCGGCGACCCAUGCCCGAACCAACUCGAACAACUCAGCAGUGGUCUGAAAACUCCUUUCCCGCCUUCGUUUGCUCUAUUUGCUUCCCAAAAUAGUGGAAUCUUCUAGAUAACGUUAAGGUGGCCUCUCAAACGGUUAGAUUCAUACGAAUCCGUACCUAUGUGAGUGAAUUUCAUUGGUUCUUUGGGAAUUAUUCUUUUCCCCCAAUUUCUAUUGGUCAAUUUUUUUCAAAUUUAUUCAAGAAAAGCUAAAUUUUGUACAAAUUAUAGGCUGGAAAAUCUUAUCUCCAGCCUCAAGAGUGUUUUUAUUCUGAGCCGGGGUAUGUGGGAAGUAGCCUCUCUACUUCGUCUAAAGUAGUGGUAUGGACUAUAUACAUUUAUCUCUCCCUAUACUCCACUUUGUGGGAAUAUGUUGAAUAUGUUGUAUUAUCUUGAUGAUAGCCAAUUGCAUGACUUUACUAUAUUGAGCAUGCUCAUUUGCCUUAGCAUUUCUACAUCCGGACCUACUGCCUUCUAUUUUAUUUUGGAUUACUAUAGUUGUCUUUUCAUCUAUCGACUUGUUUAUCCCCGUAGCAUUUCAUACUUUGGAUACGUAUUAAUUUCCUUUCUUUCUUCCUUUGCAUGUGAAUUCGUUGGAGUCCAAACCGACACUUUGCAUUCUCUAAUGGGCCAAUAAGGCCCAUCUUUUGAGUCAAACCCGAAAGAGAGUUUAGAGUCUAUUACAUAGCGCGUGAAUACAAGGAGUCCAAAGAAGAAGAAUGGACUAAAGUCCUGUCUUUGAAGUGGCAAAGAGACUCAGAAGUCUCAUUUUUUUUAUUUUAUUCAUUUAUUGUUUUUUUUUUAAUUAUUUAUUUAUUUCUUCCUUUCAUUAUUUAUUCAUUUGGGCCUUGGAUCCAAAGUUGUAAACUAAUACAGGUGAAGUGAAAUUUGAGCCAAAGGUUCAAAAAAAUAGUUAGGACAGGUUAUGGGUCAAAGCUCAAUAUCUAGAUUAGGACAGGUAAAGUUGGGCUGAAAGUCCAAUUAGACUAGGAUAGGGUGAUAAGCCCAAAUCAUUUAUUUAUUCUCCUUCUUCCCCCUUUAUAUA